AGAAACCAAGGUAGAAAUUAUCUUCUCAUAUAGGUACCUGGCCUCCAAGGACCUACUGUGGGUAGAUAAAACUCAUCAGGCAAGAACCUAAUAAGGAUGGCUAUAUCCUGCAGAAAAGACUGAAGUCUCCUUAUAUACUAUCUGACCUGGAUUAAAGAGUGUCCCCUUAAAAGAUAAUGCUGAAGUCCUAACUCCCAGUAUCUCCGAAUGUGACCAUAUUUGGGAAUGGAAUCAUCGAAGAUGUGAUUAGGUAAGGUGAGGUCAUCCUGGAGGAGGGUGGACCCUAAUUCAAUACAAGUGAUGUCCUGCAAAUUGGAGAAGACACAGAGACACAGGCACUUUGAGGGGAGAAUGCCACGUAACAAUGCUGUAAUGCACCUAUAAGCCAAGGAACACCAGGGAUUGCCGGGAACCUCCAGGAGCCGAAGGAGGCAAGGAAGGAUUCGUCCCUGGAGCCUCUGGAGAGCAUGAUCCUGCUGAUACCUGAUCUUGGACUUCGUGCUCCAGAACUGUGAGAGAAUAAAUGUCUGUUGUUUUAAGCCA